GACGAACGCUGGCGGCGUGCCUAAUACAUGCAAGUCGAACGCUUCUUUCCUCCCGAGUGCUUGCACUCAAUUGGAAAGAGGAGUGGCGGACGGGUGAGUAACACGUGGGUAACCUACCCAUCAGAGGGGGAUAACACUUGGAAACAGGUGCUAAUACCGCAUAACAGUUUAUGCCGCAUGGCAUAAGAGUGAAAGGCGCUUUCGGGUGUCGUUGAUGGAUGGACCCGCGGUGCAUUAGCUAGUUGGUGAGGUAACGGCUCACCAAGGCCACGAUGCAUAGCCGACCUGGGAGGGUGACCCGCCCCCCUGGGACUGAGACAAGGCCCAGACUCCUACGGGAGGCAGCAGUAGGGAAUCUUCGGCAAUGGACGAAAGUCUGACCGAGCAACGCCGCGUGAGUGAAGAAGGUUUUCGGAUCGUAAAACUCUGUUGUUAGAGAAGAACAAGGACGUUAGUAACUGAACGUCCCCUGACGGUAUCUAACCAGAAAGCCACGGCUAACUACGUG
rnacentral:rRNA from 1 species